rnacentral:misc_RNA from 1 species
AGCGCGCGCUUGAUAAGCGUGAGGUCGGAGGUUCAAGUCCUCCCAGGCCCACCAGUUUAUCCAUUACUUUCAUAAGUGCUUUUAAAAAAUAAGUACUUCUAAAAAGAUUGCUUCUAAAAAGCUUAUCAAAAUUGGCAGGCUUAUUGCUUUUGUGUGAGUAAUCCAAAGUUAAAGCAAAUUAAUGGCAAAAAAACAGUUCAAAUGCUAAAUACUAAGGAGUCAAAAUUCCUUGCAAAGUGAUUUUUACAGCGUCCAUUUGGUUGAUAUAAAUUCCAAAUGCUCAUAGACGUCAAUGCCUAUAUGAAACUAUCGGUUCAAUCAUAUCGCUUUGAGUUAUAUAGAUUUUGUAAUCCCUCUUUUGAUCGUUUUAAACGCUUUAUCCUGAUUUAGGGGCCGUAGCUCAGCUGGG